AUUGAACGCUGGCGGCAUGCUUUACACAUGCAAGUCGAACGGUAACAGGUUAAGCUGACGAGUGGCGAACGGGUGAGUAAUGCAUCGGAACGUGCCCGGUCGUGGGGGAUAACACUUCGAAAGAAGUGCUAAUACCGCAUACGAUCUGAGGAUGAAAGCGGGGGACCGUAAGGCCUCGCGCGAUCGGAGCGGCCGAUGUCAGAUUAGGUAGUUGGUGGGGUAAAGGCCUACCAAGCCGACGAUCUGUAGCUGGUCUGAGAGGACGACCAGCCACACUGGGACUGAGACACGGCCCAGACUCCUACGGGAGGCAGCAGUGGGGAAUUUUGGACAAUGGGCGCAAGCCUGAUCCAGCAAUGCCGCGUGCAGGAUGAAGGCCUUCGGGUUGUAAACUGCUUUUGUACGGAGCGAAAAGGCUCUCUCUAAUACAGGGGGCUCAUGACGGUACCGUAAGAAUAAGCACCGGCUAACUACGUGCCAGCCGCCGCCGUAACAC
rnacentral:rRNA from 1 species